rnacentral:rRNA from 1 species
AUGGCUCAGAUUGAACGCUGGCGGCAGGCCUAACACAUGCAAGUCGAACGGUAACAGGAAGCAGCUUGCUGCUUGCUGACGAGUGGCGGACGGGUGAGUAAUGUCUGGGAAACUGCCCGAUGGAGGGGGAUAACUACUGGAAACGGUAGCUAAUACCGCAUAAUGUCGCAAGACCAAAGAGGGGGACCUUCGGGCCUCUUGCCAUCGGAUGUGCCCAGAUGGGAUUAGCUUGUUGGUGAGGUAACGGCUCACCAAGGCGACGAUCCCUAGCUGGUCUGAGAGGAUGACCAGCCACACUGGAACUGAGACACGGUCCAGACUCCUACGGGAGGCAGCAGUGGGGAAUAUUGCACAAUGGGCGCAAGCCUGAUGCAGCCAUGCCGCGUGUAUGAAGAAGGCCUUCGGGUUGUAAAGUACUUUCAGCGGGGAGGAAGGGGUUAAGGUUAAUAACCUUAGCCAUUGACGUUACCCGCAGAAGAAGCACCGGCUAACUCCGUGCCAGCCGCAGC